ACCUUUUAAUGAAGCUUCGGCAGAUUUAGCUGGUUUCUAGUGGCGGACGGGUGAGUAACGCGUGGGUAACCUGCCUUAUACAGGGGGAUAACAGUCAGAAAUGACUGCUAAUACCGCAUAAGCGCACAGGACCGCAUGGUCCGGUGUGAAAAACUCCGGUGGUAUAAGAUGGACCCGCGUUGGAUUAGCUGGUUGGUGGGGUAACGGCUCACCAAGGCGACGAUCCAUAGCCGGCCUGAGGGGGUGAACGGCCACAUUGGGACUGAGACACGGCCCAGACUCCUACGGGAGGCAGCAGUGGGGAAUAUUGCACAAUGGGGGAAACCCUGAUGCAGCGACGCCGCGUGAAGGAAGAAGUAUCUCGGUAUGUAAACUUCUAUCAGCAGGGAAGAUAGUGACGGUACCUGACUAAGAAGCCCCGGCUAACUACGUGCCAGCAGCCGCGGUAAUACGUAGGGGGCAAGCGUUAUCCGGAUUUACUGGGUGUAAAGGGAGCGUAGACGGACUGGCAAGUCUGAUGUGAAAGGCGGGGGCUCAACCCCUGGACUGCAUUGGAAACUGUUAGUCUUGAGUGCCGGAGAGGUAAGCGGAAUUCCUAGUGUAGCGGUGAAAUGCGUAGAUAUUAGGAGGAACACCAGUGGCGAAGGCGGCUUACUGGACGGUAACUGACGUUGAGGCUCG
rnacentral:rRNA from 1 species